CGCGCAUUCCCAGAGGAUAUCUUCAAGUCUUGCGGCUGCUGUCUCAGAUCAACUCCAGCAGUAUCAGCAGCAGCAGUAACAACAUCAACAGCAAAGGCAGCAAACUCACUUAAGGACUUAAUUUUUGCCAUGAAAAUAGCCACAGAUGCUGAUAUGCCAUUAAAUAAAACUAUACUGUACUGCACGAAACAUGGGCCAGGUUGAUUUUGUCCUACACAGUUCACUAUAACAGCUGUUCUUUAUUAUUCUGUAUAACAGAGAAGAAAAAGCCAUCAGGUUGGAACAACUUAAGAUGCUUCAGUUUCUAAUCCCAGA